CCUACGGGAGGCAGCAGUGAGGAAUAUUGGUCAAUGGGCGGAAGCCUGAACCAGCCAAGUCGCGUGAGGGAAUAAGGCCCUACGGGUCGUAAACCUCUUUUGCCGGGGAGCAAGGGCGGGGACGUGUCCCGGCCCGGAGAGUACCCGGAGAAAAAGCAUCGGCUAACUCCGUGCCAGCAGCCGCGGUAAUACGGCGGAUGCGAGCGUUAUCCGGAUUUAUUGGGUUUAAAGGGUGCGUAGGCGGGCUGUUAAGUCAGCGGUAAAAUGUCGGGGCUCAACCCCGGCCUGCCGUUGAAACUGGCGGCCUCGAGUGGGCGAGAAGUAUGCGGAAUGCGUGGUGUAGCGGUGAAAUGCAUAGAUAGCACGCAGAACUCCGAUUGCGAAGGCAGCAUACCGGCGCCCUACUGACGCUGAGGCACGAAAGCGUGGGUAUCGAACGGGAUUAGAUACCCUUGUAGUC
rnacentral:rRNA from 1 species